CGUACAUGAUAUGGACUACCAGUACAAUGUGAUACAGUCUCUAAGAGUCGAGUUGUUUGGGAAUGCAGCUCAAAGUGGGUGGUAAAUUCCAUCUAAGGCUAAAUAUAGGUGAGAGACCGAUAGCAAACAAGUACCGUGAGGGAAAGAUGAAAAGAACUUUGGAAAGAGAGUUAACAGUAUGUGAAAUUGUUAAAAGGGAAACAUUUGAAGUUAGACUUGUUAUUGUUGGUUCAACUUUCUCUUUUGAAGGUGUAUUCCAAUGGUUUUAACAGACCAGCAUCAAUUUUUGAGUGUUAGAUAAGGGUCUUGAGAAUGUAGCAACUUUGGUUGUGUUUUUAUAGCUCAUGACUUUUGAUAUAAUGCUUAGGAUUGAGGUAUGCAGUGAGCUUUUUAUUAAGUGGAUAUAUAUAUACAUAUCUUCUCACUACGGAUGUUGGUGUUAAUAGCUUUAAAUGACCCGUCUUGAAACACGGACCAAGGAGUCUAACAUGCUUGCGAGUAUUUGGGUGUUGAAACCCUUAUGCAUAAUGAAAGUGAAUGUAAAUGAGAUCCGUAACAGGUGCAUCAUUGACCAGUCCUGAUUAUUUAUAUGAAGGUACUGAGUAAGAGCAAGUAUGUUGGGACCCGAAAGAUGGUGAACUAUGCCUGAAUAGGGUGAAGCCAGAGGAAACUCUGGUGGAAGCUCGUAGCGGUUCUGACGUGCAAAUCGAUCGUCAAAUUUGGGUA
rnacentral:rRNA from 1 species